rnacentral:rRNA from 1 species
GACGAACGCUGGCGGCGUGCUUAACACAUGCAAGUCGAGCGGUAAGGCCCUUUCGGGGGUACACGAGCGGCGAACGGGUGAGUAACACGUGGGUGACCUGCCCUCAGCUCUGGGAUAAGCCUGGGAAACCGGGUCUAAUACCGGAUAUGACUCCAUGACGCAUGUUGUGGGGUGGAAAGCCUUGUGCGGCUGAGGAUGGGCCCGCGGCCUAUCAGCUUGUUGGUGGGGUGAUGGCCUACCAAGGCGACGACGGGUAGCCGGCCUGAGAGGGCGACCGGCCACACUGGGGACUGAGACACGGCCCAGACUCCUACGGGAGGCAGCAGUGGGGAAUCUUGCGCAAUGGGCGAAAGCCUGACGCAGCGACGCCGCGUGAGGGAUGACGGCCUGGUGUAACUACUUCU